AUUGAACGCUGGCGGCAUGCUUUACACAUGCAAGUCGAACGGCAGCGCGGGCUUCGGCCUGGCGGCGAGUGGCGAACGGGCGAGUAAUGCAUCGGAACGUGCCCAGUAGUGGGGGAUAGCCCGGCGAAAGCCGGAUUAAUACCGCAUACGACCUGAGGGUGAAAGCGGGGGACCGAAAGGCCUCGCGCUAUUGGAGCGGCCGAUGUCGGAUUAGCUAGUUGGUGGGGUAAAGGCUUACCAAGGCGACGAUCCGUAGCUGGUCUGAGAGGACGACCAGCCACACUGGAACUGAGACACGGCCCAGACUCCUACGGGAGGCAGCAGUGGGGAAUUUUGGACAAUGGGGGCAACCCUGAUCCAGCCAUGCCGCGUGAGGGAAGAAGGCCUUCGGGUUGUAAACCGCUUUUGUUCGGGAAGAAAUCCUCUGGGCUAAUACCCCGGGGGGAUGACGGUACCGGAAGAAUAAGCACCGGCUAACUACGUG
rnacentral:rRNA from 1 species